UACGUAGGGGGCAAGCGUUGUCCGGAUUUAUUGGGCGUAAAGCGCGUGUAGGUGGCCAUGUAGGUCCGCUGUGAAAACUUGGGGCUCAACCCCAAGCCUGCGGUCGAUACGGGCAGGCUCGAGUUCGGUAGGGGAGACUGGAAUUCCUGGUGUAGCGGUGAAAUGCGCAGAUAUCAGGAGGAACACCGGUGGCGAAGGCGGGUCUCUGGGCCGAUACUGACGCUGAGGAGCGAAAGCGUGGGGAGCGAACAGG
rnacentral:rRNA from 1 species